GGGAGAGGUAAGAGGUACUACAGGGUAGGAGUGAAUACUUGUAUCCCUGUGGGACCACCUGUGGCGAAGGCGUCUACCAGAACGGUUCGACGGUGAGGACGAAGCUGGGGCACGAACCGGAUUAGAUACCCGGGUAGUCCCAGCCGUAAACGAUGCUCGCUAGGUGUCAGGCAUGGCGCGACCGUGUCUGGUGCCGCAGGGAAGCCGUGAAGCGAGCCACCUGGGAAGUACGGCCGCAAGGCUGAAACUUAAAGGAAUUGGCGGGGGAGCACAACAACGGGUGGAGCCCUGCGGUUUAAUUGGACUCAACGCCGGACAACUCACCGGGGGCGACAGCAAUAUGUAGGCCAAGCUGAAGACUUUGCCUGAAUCGCUGAGAAGUGGUGCAUGG
rnacentral:rRNA from 1 species